rnacentral:rRNA from 1 species
CCUACGGGGGACAGCAGUGAGGAAUAUUGGUCAAUGGGCGGAAGCCUGAACCAGCCAAGUCGCGUGAGGGAAUAAGGCCCUACGGGUCGUAAACCUCUUUUGCCGGGGAGCAAGGGCGGGGACGUGUCCCGUCCCGGAGAGUACCCGGAGAAAAAGCAUCGGCUAACUCCGUGCCAGCAGCCGCGGUAAUACGGAGGAUGCGAGCGUUAUCCGGAUUGAUUGGGUUUAAGGGGUGCGUAGGCGGGCUUUUAAGUCAGCGGUAAAAAUUCGGGGCUCAACCCCGUCCGGCCGUUGAAACUGGGGGUCUUGAGUGGGCGAGAAGAAGGCGGAAUGCGUGGUGUAGCGGUGAAAUGCAUAGAUAUCACGCAGAACCCCGAUUGCGAAGGCAGCCUUCCGGCGCCCUACUGACGCUGAGGCACGAAAGUGUGGGGAUCGAACAGGAUUAGAUACCCUAGUAGUC